rnacentral:rRNA from 1 species
AUACAGAGGGUGCAAGCGUUAAUCGGAUUUACUGGGCGUAAAGCGCGCGUAGGUGGCUAAUUAAGUCAAAUGUGAAAUCCCCGAGCUUAACUUGGGAAUUGCAUUCGAUACUGGUUAGCUAGAGUAUGGGAGAGGAUGGUAGAAUUCCAGGUGUAGCGGUGAAAUGCGUAGAGAUCUGGAGGAAUACCGAUGGCGAAGGCAGCCAUCUGGACUAAUAAGGACUCUGAGGUGCGAAAGCAGGGGGAGAAAACAGGAUUAGAUACCCUGGUAGUCCAUGCCGUAAACGAUGUCUACUAGCCGUUGGGGCCCUUGAGGCUUUAGUGGCGCAGCUAACGCGAUAAGUAGACCGCCUGGGGAGUACGGUCGCAAGACUAAAACUCAAAUGAAUUGACGGGG